UUUAGUGUGAUGUUCAUGGCUGCCUUUAAACCAUCUAGAUUAUUAUUAGACUCAAAUUUACUCAUAUUGCAAGAAAUGUUUUUGUGUUGCACUUCCAAGAAACACAGUGUAUUUUCACACCUGCCUCUUUUCAGCCUAAUAAAUAUCAGUCCAGUCAGCAUCUCUAACACUUCUGAUGCUUUCUGAACUCCAGACCAGACCAGACUCAGACCAGAUUCAGACCAGACUCCUUCAUUUACACGAGCUCAAGAACAACGCAAAGGAUGAGAUCUGCAGCUCUUCUCUCGCUCCUCUUCAUUCUGGCUCUCAGUGAUGGAGCAGACUGUCAGAACUUUAAUGAAUUCAAGCGAAAACACAUUCUCUCAACUACAUUUCAAUCCAAGGAGCAAGCUGAAGAGUAUCUACAGAAGAAUGAACUCUGUGGAAGAUCUAAAACGCAAUCCUUCAUCAAGGGCAGUGAUAAAAACAUAAAAAAAAUCUGUAACGGCUCCGGCAGUGUUUUAGGGAACUAUACCAAAAGUAAAUAUUCAUUUAAAGUGUACCUUGUAAGCUCUAAGAAAAGCUCAGAUGGAGAGUGUAACAUUACCAAUUGUACUUCAGGCAAUUAUUAUGUUAUCGUUAAAUGUAAGAACAAACUACCUGUGCACUAUGAAAGUCAAGAGAUUGAAGAGAACAAAGAUCCACAGCCCUGCUUUUAAAGAGCGUUAUUUUAUUCCAAUGCAGUGGUAGUGAGGAUCCAAAGGAGGUUGCUUUAAAAUAUUGAUUUUAAUCUUUCAUUAAAAAAAAUAUUGCUAUACCACACAUUUGUUUGAACUGGAUAUAAAUGGAUCUAAAUAAAGCUUUCUUUGCAGAAUGAUGUGCAGUAUUAUAAAAACAAACAAAUGUAUAGCUUGAAUGCAAAGCAAGUCGCUUCAAAUAAAAGCAUCUGCCAAAAGCAUAAAA